rnacentral:lncRNA from 1 species
AAGAGAGCCUUUUCAGGCGGUGCUUUGACACUUACAACAAUGGAUGGAGAAGUUCACUCGUCCUGUGAAUUCCGAUGCAGUCAAGAAAUACUUCGCCUAAAACAAAAAGAACAAAGUAGCUCGCUAAGUUGAACACCCCAAAGGGCGACUUAGGCAAAAAGGAGCGUCUCGGUGGAUUGAAAACCCGAAAGGGCGAUCCAGGCAAAAGUUAGAGACAUUGAAAAAAAGAAUUCGCAUCCCGCUAGAUUGAGCACCUCACACUGGGGCAAUCUAGGCAAAAAUUAGGGAUUUGGCAAGUAACUGCAUCCUGACAAGACUGUGUUCUAC